GAUGAAGAAUGUAGCGAAAUGCGAUACGUAAUGUGAAUUGCAGAAUUCAGUGAAUCAUCGAGUCUUUGAACGCACAUUGCGCCCCCUGGUAUUCCGGGGGGCAUGCCUGUCCGAGCGUCAUUGCUGCCCUCAAGCACGGCUUGUGUGUUGGGCCUCCGUCCUCCUCCCGGGGGACGGGCCCGAAAGGCAGCGGCGGCACCGCGUCCGGUCCUCGAGCGUAUGGGGCUUCGUCACCCGCUCUUGUAGGCCCGGCCGGCGCUUGCCGACACAUCAAUCUUUUUUCCAGGUUGACCCCGGAUCAGGUAGGGAUACCCGCUGAACUUAAGCAUAUCAAUAAGCGGAGGA
rnacentral:misc_RNA from 1 species